AUACAAUUUUAUGGACGCCUUAUCUACAAACCUUAAAAUGUUUCACUUGUUCCCUUAUGAAUAGUGAUCACAUGUGUGGGGUGCAUGUGUGAGAAAGCUAUGUGGCUUUGUUUAUUUUUUUUUUUGCCGUGAGUUGAUUGUGACCCUUCUAUGCCUCCUGCGUCCCUCCCUCAUUUCUCAGCUUCCUGCUUUCCUCUUUGGCUCUCUCCUCUCUCAUCUUUCUCUAUCUUGUAAGAGCUAAUGCAUGCGUUGCCAGCAAGAGCUUUGUCAUCCUCUCAACUCAAAGUUUUUUUCUUUCAAUUAUAAUGUUCUAGAAUUCAAAAAACCCUAAUUUCAGGGAUAAAUCCCAAAAUUUGAAGAAAUUAAGAGAAGAUGAGGCGUCAGAGAUAGAAGAUCCAUACUAUUAUGGCGUGGUUAAGAAAGAAGCCGCCAAAUGUGAAGGUGUUUCUUGCGGUGGUCGCUUGAAUGGCGGCUCUGGUUUGCUGAACCUGGAGAUCUUUUGGUUGUGGCAUGCUUGCUUUUCAAGUUCCUCACUAUUCUACUGGUGCCACCACUGCAAUCUAGAAACUCGGCGUUUUGCUACCACCAACCACCGAGUCAACUCGCCUUCUGCCGAUUACAGUUGCGGGCAUCUUGUUUCUCAAAUCCAACCCCAUCAUUCAAUUCAUCUUUGGACCCAUCUCAUUCAAAUGGGUCUUCUUCGGAGCCCCGUAUUUUCUCUCAUCCGUCACAUUCAAAUUCAAAAUUGUAAAGGAGAGUAUUAAGGUGAUGAUGAUUUAUUGGUGAACUCUUUAUCAUCUUUGAUGCCGCAGGACAGCUUUUACUGGCUAAAGGUGAUGUAGAGAAAGCAUUUAAUACAUUCAAGAUUGUACUUGAUGGUGAUCCCGAUAAUGUUCCCGCUCUUCUUGGACAAGUGCAGUGUUAAGGGAUGAAAGGGGCGUAAUUGUGGCUGCUAAGGUGCAACGGGUCAAGGGGUAUCUCUCUGUCAUGGUUCUGGAAGUAUUGGCUGCGAGGAUGGGAGUGGAAAGCAGCUUGAGCUUAUGGGUAUGAACGUGUGGAGCUGGAGUCAGGCACUCUUAUUGUGACUAAGCUGAUCAGCUCAUUAAAGGCAGGUUAAGCAUCAUUGGACCUGAUUAUAAUAUUAUUGAUGAUAUAGUGACAAGUUUAUGAAUAGGGAGUUUGAUACGAGUAUUUUCUCUUGUUUUCAUGUAAAAAAGGUUGAGUAAUUGUGCUGCUCAACUGAUGGCUAAGCAAUACCCAUCUAAUGACUUUGAGCAUAUGUGCGUAGAUAAUUUCCCGUAGGUUGUUGUCUCACUUGCUGAACUUGAUGUUGGUUGAUGUUUUUUUACUAUCGAAUAUAGUAUGCUCUUUGAGCCUUUAAAAAAACAUAGGGGGAUUUACACAUUAUUGGUUGUGUAAGUGGUCUGUGGGAGUAGUAUAUUUGUGGUUGCCCUUUUUACUCAGUUGAUUGGAGGAUUAAUUGCAGGUAUAAGAUGUCUUCAUUUCUUUCCAUUAAUUAUUUAGAGAUAUUGUACACAUGUGUACAUGACAGUAUUGCCUUGUACUCAUGGUAACAUACCAAAUACCUAUAUAUUGUUAGAACAUCAAUUGUAUAAUUGACAAAUGCCUGUGUAAAAUCCAAAUUUUGUUAAGCUCAUGCUAUAACCUAUCUUGGUCUAUUAGGGAAUCAUCCGAGAAUUCGUAACUCUUUUGUAUCUCUCUCAAUUUAUUGAUAUUGUUCUUAGUAGGUCAUUUAAUUUGUUGCAAUUUGAAUUAAUUUUGUUUUUGAAAAGUAUGGAUUUGUGUUUAGGGAUCUUACAAAAUGUGGGUCAAAUUUGAAUCUAGGAAUCGAUUGUAUUGAUUUUGAUGUGAGUAGAAUUUGAAUUUCAAUGUUGAAAUUUGCUAUUGUUUUGGUUGGUUGAGCAUUUGAGCUUGUGUUGUUCAAUGUCAUUUGGGAAGGGAAUCUUGGGGUUUGUAGGAAAUGGCUGUAAGAUUCAUGGAUGGUUUCGUGAUUUAUAGAGAGAAUGUACAUGCUGUUGGAGUUAAUUUGGAUUAGUUUUUGUUUGGCAGGUGGAAUAGAAAAUCUAGAAAUUUAAGCCAAUAAUGAAAUCCAACGAACAAAUAAUGAAAUAAUAAUGGAAUUAAAUUUAAAGAAAGGAAGGUUAGCUCAUCUUGUUGAGCCUGGUGCCCCUUGUUUACUUAGCUGCUGUUCUUGAGUACCUUGUUCUCUCCUCCAUUGAAGUAGUAUUUGAGAGGUUGUGGAUAUGAGGAGAAGAAAAGCAAGGGAUAAUAAAUGCUCUUUAUCAAGUAGCUUUUAAUUUAAGGGACGUAUGGCUGUUAGGGAAGAGCUCUUUUGGCGUCACAUUGCUACUGAUCAUUUGUGUCCUUGCUGCAGCCUGGUGGGGGAGUCCGUGAAUCAUGUCCUUUUCGAAUGCACAAAGGCUAAAGUGGUAUGUGCGAGUAGUAUCUUUCAAGCUCUGAUUGAUGAAGCUCCUGUAGGUUCUUUUAUGGAUAAUUUGUUGUGGUUUGACAGCAAAUUAGAGAAACAGGAAUUGCGUAUAUUGCUUGCUCUAGCCUGGUCUAAUUGGUAUUGCAGGAACAAAUUUUUUUCAUGAGCAACAGUCCCUAAAUGUUGUCUACACAGCAGCGAGUUUUGCUAAACUUAUGUCUAAUUAUUGCUCCUACGCUAAGCGAGUCUUUGUGAAGCAUGGUGCCCCUGCUGCCCCUAUGGUCAGAUCUUGGACGAAGCCUCCUGCUUGGAUUACCAAGAUCAAUAUUGAUGCCCAUAUUACUGGGUCGUUUGCUUCGGUUGGGGCUGUGGCUCAAAAUGAAAAUGGUGGUUUGGUGUGGGCUACUGUCAGACGGCUGGAAGGAGAAUGGAUGUGGAAAGUGCUGAAGCUGCUGCUGUUAGAUUCGGUUUACAACAAGCUAGUAGAUGGGUAGCAGGAACAACAACUUGGGUUUCUCUCCUCUAUGGCUAAUUUAUGAUGAUAUUAAAGCUAUGUCUAAAUGGUUUGAUUUUUUGUUACUUUUCACAUGUCAAGAGAGUAGGCAAUGUGGUGGCUCAUCUCGUUGCGAGGUGUGACACCCGUGGUAGUACGGAGUUAGUUUGUAUGAACUCCUUUCUCCAAAGCUUAAUUACUUGGCGGAGAGCGAUAUUUAAUAAAUAGCCUGCUAAUCUUGCUUCAAAAAAAGAAGCUUUAAUAUUUUAAAAUAUGUGCGAUAUUGACUAGGAACAUUCCUAGCCUUAUUUUGAGCUUAA